UACGAAGGGGGCUAGCGUUGCUCGGAAUCACUGGGCGUAAAGCGCACGUAGGCGGAUUGCUAAGUCAGGGGUGAAAUCCUGGAGCUCAACUCCAGAACUGCCUUUGAUACUGGCGAUCUUGAGUCCGGGAGAGGUGAGUGGGACUGCGAGUGUAGAGGUGAAAUUCGUAGAUAUUCGCAAGAACACCAGUGGCGAAGGCGGCUCACUGGCCCGGUACUGACGCUGAGGUGCGAAAGCGUGGGGAGCGAACAGG
rnacentral:rRNA from 1 species